UACACUACUUGAUUUUUCCUGUAUGUAUUAUCUUUUUACUUAAAAAAAAGAGCUAAUUUUAAAAGUUUUAAGAGAUGAAAAUCAUUUCCAGGCCCCAAAUUCUAUUGUAUCAUCAUACUGCAUAACACUGUUCAAUAGAGAAUCUCCAAGAAUACAGUAUAAAUUGAAGUAUUAACGGUAGAAAAUGGUUGUUUAUGUUAUUUGGAACUUACAUACUGCUGAAUAUUUUGUAAACCAUGUGUUUAAUUUUGUCACCAGAGGAUUGUAUGUCGUAGAAUGUGCCAUAGAAUAAGUCUGGUUAUUUCUUUCCACAAUGAAAUGAAUAGUCUACAAAGUCCAGUUUCUUGAAAUAAGUGGAAAAGUUUUAGGUGAAUUCUACCUUCCCUAAGGUAGAGAAGGCAUCAUGGUAAAAAAGUACAUUGCUGUUUUUUUUAUUGGACUAAGGUUUGAAUCCUUCUUACCACUUAUUUUCUGUGUGACCUUGAGUGAAUCAUGUUGUCUCUUGCAAUCUAAGAUUCCUCUUACAUAAAAGGGGGAUCACUUCUUCUCCGCUGAUCUUAUGAGGGAUUGCAGGGAUCCAGGAAGAUAAUGGAUAUGAGGAAAUUAAUCAAGCCUAAGGGAUUAUUAAUAAUUUCACUACUCAGCAUACGUAGACCAUGUAUUGAAAACAUCCUAAAAAGGAGUAGCCAGGUAUUCAACUGUCAGUUUACUAGAGUUUUCUGAGAAGACAGAUUAACUGAAACAGCCACAGUGUGCUGGCUCGGAACACAGGAGGCUACAGUGCUCACUGACGUGUGGAAACUGAUACCAUAAUGAAACAUGAGAGAGGAAGCUGUUGAUCAGAUACCUGAUUUUUAGGACCAUGGAGUGGUACAGAAAUACUCAGGGUAAGAUUUGAAGUACUUGAGUUACUGGGACCUCAGUGACUCACAGUUGCGGCGAAUAUACCACUACAUCUUGCUUUAGGAAAAUUGUUAUUUCCAAGUGUGAUACAAGAAGAGUAGGGAGAGAUGGCCUAAAUCAAAAGACAAUUCUAGGGGUGCCUGGGAGGCUCAGUCGGUUGAGCAUCUGACUUUGGCUCAGGUCAUGAUCUCAGGGUUUGUGAAUUUCAGCCCUGCAUCAGGCUUGUUGCUGUCAACUGGAGCCUGGGUUGGAUCCUCUGGCCUCCUUUCUUUCUUCCCCUCCCCAGCUUGUGCAUGCACUCCUGCAUGUGCGCUGUCACUCUCUCUCAAGAAUAAAUUAAAAAAACACUAAAAUUUUUCAAAAGGUAACUUUAAUAAUUCAGAUUAAUGAUUAGGAAUGCUCUUUCCACAUGUGAUCCCACACAAAAGGAACAAAGGGCAUUUUACUUUAAUAAGGUCAAGGCUGCAGGUGGAUCAGCUCUGGGCGUUUAGUGCAGGUGUCAUUCAGAGGCAGGACGAGGAGCACAGUGUAUGCAUUCCCCUGCAAUUUGCAGCUGUACACUCACACAUAAACCUGUAUCUCCAAAGAUUAACUAAAAUUCUUAUGCAUUAAAAAGGUAUUAGUAUGGCGAAAAGGUAUUGCUUAAUAAUUCAGUGCAUACAUUAACCUAAGAAGGGUUUAAAAGUCAUUUAUUGGUAUGAACAAUUCACUGCCAGCCCAUUUUCAACUGGCAAUUUUAUUACCAUUUUAUGUCAAAGGUUAUCAUUUCUCUCUUUCAUAUUUUCUUUUAUAUCUGCUUUAAUAUUUUUUAUGGGACAGAUUUAAUAAUAAAUUGUGAGAUAUUUCUUAAUUACGUCUUUACCUCUGAGUUUUUUCACUCUUCUGCUGCUCCUUGUCCCUGGAGCACAUAACAGAUUUCAUCAACAACAAGAAAUUAGAGGUCUUAAAAUAAAAAGUACUUGUCUGAUAUAGGCAUAGUGAUACUACAACAGGAAUGUAUGUUAAAUAGAAAGUGGGGACUGGAUAUUAGUAACCAAUGAGCUUAAAAUGCACAAUAGAUUGAGAGAUGCUUUAAAAAAAAACCCAAGAGGCAAAACAGGUUUAGGCUCCAUAUGUGAAAAUAAAGUUCUUGGAGCCCAGGAAAGUAGUAAUUCUGUUUUCUGCUGAUCAAACCACAGCUGAGAUAAAGAGUUCAAUUUGGGAAAACAUAAUCUAGAAGAAAUAUGGAGGAGGGCCACCAGAAUAGAAGGAAUCUGGAAAUAGGCAUGCGAGGAAGCACAGAAGGUAUUUGGGAGGAUUGGCCUGAGGAAGAGAACAAAAGAAGGACACAGGACAAUGCUCUGAAAAUAGACAAAGAGCUACUAAGUGAAAGAAAGUGUGAAUUUAUUAUAUUUAUCCACAGAACUAGAAUUCUUAUGCAGAAAUCAGAGGGAAGUGCAUUAUGGGUUAAAUUAUUUAAAGUUAUGUUUUAACAGAUAGACCUAUUUAAAAAUGGAAUAUGCUCUUAGGACAUAGCUAUUUCCCCACCAUUCAAGUAGAAGAUAAACAGGCACCAAUUAGGGACACUAUAGAGCAGUGCUAUCCAAUGGAACAUUGUACAGGAUUACAAAUGUCCUAGAUAUGUCCUAUCAAAACAGUAGUACUAGACCACAUGGGCCAAAGAGCCCUUGAAAUAUGACUAGUGUGACCAAGGAACUGAAUUAUUUUAAGUAAUUAUAUAACUCAAAUUUAAACAGCCAUAUGGGCAUAGUGGCUACCAUAUUGGAAGAUACAGAUAUAGAGUCUAGAAGAAAUUCCUGUAUCAGGCUGAAAUUUGGAAUAUACCACCUCUAAGAGUUCUAAACUUACCUCCUAAUGCCUCCUCUCAUCCUGCUUCCUUCCCCCCACUCCUCAUACCCCACUCAAAUAAUACUAACUUGCUUAUAUUUCCUUGAAUAUAUGGUGCUAUUUCAUGUUUGUGAAUGGUAUAUUUUUAUGGAAUGCUCUCCUGCAACAUAAUCUGCUUUUCCUUAUUCUUCCUUACAUUAUCAGUUAUUCUUCUUUUGUAGAAUUUUCCUGAUACCCCAAAACUUCUGUCCUCUGAUAUUGGCAUGUAUAUCUUUUUAAGUGCAUCAGACAAUAUUCCAAUUGUAUUUCUUUUUUUUUUUUUUUUUUGAGAUUUUAUUUUUAAAAUCCAACGUGGGCUCAAACUCAUGACCCUGAGAUCAAGAGUCACAUGCUCUACCGACUGAGCCAACCAGGUGCCCUGACUCUGAGUUUCUAAGGUUUAGGGCAAUUUUGGGUCUCCAACAUGUAGCAUAACUGGCUUCCAUUAGUAGUUCCACAGAAAUGGAGGAUGCGCAUGCCUGAUACUCCAACUGACACAUGUAUUUACAAAAUGAUACCUAAGAAAUCUCCAUACAACAGGAGAUGUUACAACUUAAAAUUUAUAGCUAAGAAUAAAGAAGUCAAGGUUUUAGAUAAUUUGUCCAGUAUAACACACAAAAAGUAGAACAAAUUGACAAAUGAUUGCAUAUUAAACUCACCUCACUGCUCCAUUCCUGAAUAUCACUGUGUCAAGUUAAAUUCAGUUACUUUGGAAGAAUUUUAAUUAAAGCUCUUAGAUUCGCAAGGGAUCUCAAGAUAUAUCCUGCCUUUUAGCAGGAGAUCCAAAAAGGCUAAAUAAAUUUCCCAAAUUUACUCAGCUAGGAGGUAUCAGAGUUGGCUUUAAAACGAGUUCUCCUAUUUAUUAAGAAUUUAUAUCUCUGAGAUAUAAUACUAAUUGUUAUUUUAAAAUUAAAUAUAUGAUCAAAUUUUCCUAAUUCCAAAAUAAUACUUGUUCUUCAUAGAAACAUUAGAGAGUACAGAAAAAAAAAAUAGGAAAGUAUGGAGACUAAAGAUCAUUCAUAAUCUCCAAAUGCAAAGACUGAUUCAUUCAUUCAUUCUGUCAAUGUUCACUACAAAAGACCACCAGGAACACAGCUGGAAUUGAGAUCACUCUGGCUGUGGGAGGACAGCAGGCGAGAAGCAUGAUAUAAGGCAGGAGACCAACUAAAAUACAACUUUAUUAGUCCAGGACCCUGACCUCGGUGUUUGUCGCGCCGGUCGCAACAUCAAAUGAAGAAAGUGUUUCAAGAAUUUGGAAGUGAUCGGUUCUAUCAAAUGCAGCUAAGAGAUUCAAUUUGUGAAGGACUCAGGAUUGACCAUUGGAUUUUAAAAUGUGGAUCAGA